UACUCUUGAAGUGGGGGAGUUGAGUUUGAGAAAUGAGUUGUGGACAGAGCUUUGAAUUGGAUUUUUUCUCCCAUGAUUCCUUGAACAAAAUCAAGCAUUGCCUCCGCGGAUGUGGCACAGUACUUUGUCUCUCCCUUUAUAUGUGGAGCCUCACAUUCUCUCAGUGUGUCUUCCAUGGCUUUCCCCUGUGGAGAGUUUCGAGAGAAUGAGAAACGUUGAAGGAUGUUUGGGAGUUCCUUUAGUGAAAAUGGAAUGGAAUUAGCUUCUUCCUUGCUCAAGAAUUUUGGAGAGGGAUAAAGAUCCCUUCUUGGAAAGGAGAUAAAUAUUUCUUUUCUUAGCUUUAGAUCGUCCAUAAGGAAGAAAACUCUUAAAGAAGGAUCAAUGUGGGAUGAUGAAUGGAUAUGUGCAUUCUCUGUUUUUGCUUCUUGAUGAUUGUUGUAUAUCAACUAAUUUUGAGUGUCGUCCUCAUUCCGCAGAUCACCAUAUGAUGAUAAACCAAUUUGGGCGUUCUCUGUUUUGACUUGUUGAUGAUUGUUGUCUCCUUUGUUGUUGUAUAUCAAGUAAUUUUGAGUGU